GGGAGGGAGGGAGGUAGAGAGGGAGGGAGGGAGGUAGAGAGGGAAGGAGGGAGGUAGAGAGGUAGAGAGAUAGGGAGGGAGAGAGGUAGAGAGGGAGGGAGAGAGGGAGGGAGGGAGGUAGAGAGGGAGAGAGAUAGGGAGGGAGAGAGGUAGAGAGGUAGAGAGGGAAGGUAGUAGAAAAGGAGGGAGGGAAUGAGGGAGGUAGAGAGGGAGGGAGGUAGAGAGGUAGAGAGAUAGGGAGGGAGAGAGGUAGAUAGGGAGGUAGAGAGGGAGGGAGGGAGGUAGAGAGGUAGAGAGAUAGGGAGGGAGAGAGGUAGAGAGGGAGGGAGAGAGGGAGGGAGAGAGGUAGAGAGGGAGGUAGAGAGGGAAGGAGGGAGGUAGAGAGGGAGGGAGGUAGAGAGGGAGAGAGAUAGGGAGGGAGAGAGGUAGAGAGGGAGGGAGAGAGGGAGGUAGAGAGGGAGGGAGGUAGAGAGGGAGGGAGGUAGAGAGGUAGAGAGGGAGGGGGGAGGGAGGUAGAGAGGGAAGGAGGGAGGUAGAGAGGUAGAGAGGGAGGGAGGGAGGUAGAGAGGUAGAGAGGGAGGGAGGGAGGUAGAGAGGUAGAGAGGGAGGGAGGGAGGUAGAGAGGGAGGGAGGCAGGUAGAGAGGUAGAGAGGGAGGGAGGUAGAAAAGGAGGGAGGGAGGUAGUGAGAUAGAGAGGGAGGGAGGUAGAGAGGGAGGUAGAGAGAGAGGGAGAUAGAGAGAGAGGUAGAGAGGGAGGGAGGUAGAGAGGGAGGUAGAGAGAGAGGGAGGUAGAGAGAGAGGUAGAGAGGGAGGGAGGUAGAGAGGGAGGGAGGUAGAGAGGGAGGUAGAGAGAGAGGGAGGUAGAGAGGGAGGUAGAGAGAGAGGGAGGUAGAGAGGGAAGGAGGGAGGGAGGGAGGUAGAGAGAGAGGGAGGUAGAGAGAGAGGGAGGUAGAGAGAGAGGGAGGUAGAGAGAGAGGGAGGUAGAGAGGGAAGGAGGGAGGGAGGGGUGGUGACCUUUGAACGAGGAACCACUCUGGGGGUAAUGUGAUCCCUUGCCCCUGUCUGAUUGUGUGUGUCUGUGUGUGUGUGUGUGUCUCCGUAUGUGUGUGUGUGUGUGUGUGUGUGUAUGUGUGUCAGAAAGACCCCAUUCCCACUGCUAUUCCCUUUCAGAGGUGAAACAUAAAUAGGUUACAUUAGAGGAUAUCAGACUCCACAAUCAGACUGGGGCAUAAAAGCUCCCAAGAUAGAGACAGAGCGAAAUGGUGGGAGAACUAAACAGACUCUAUCCCUCUCUUUCUCUCUUUAAUACACUGUUAAGAAGAGUGAGAGACAGAGCGGUAGAAAAUAAAAGAAAGGAAAAGGUGGAGUUGAAAUGAGAGAGAAAAGAGAGGGAGAGGGAGAGAGACACUAACUGCUUGCAUCAUCUAAAUAACCUGUUGACCAAUGAACUAAGCAGAACCCGUCUCUCUACUCAUAGAACUAUUCCCUUAUUCUAAAGUACUAUAUAGGGAAUAGGGUGUCAUCUCUCCAUAGGGCCCUGGUCUAAAGUAGUGUACUAUAUAGGGAAUAGGGUGUCAUCUCUCCAUAGGGCCCUGGUCUAAAGUAGUGUACUAUAUAGGGAAUAGGGUGUCAUCUCUCCAUAGGGCCCUGGUCUAAAGUAAUGUACUAUAUAGGGAAUAGGGUGUCAUCUCUCCAUAGGGCCCUGGUCUAAAGUAGUGUACUAUAUAGGGAAUAGGGUGUCAUCUCUCCACAGGACCCUGGUCUAAAGUAGUGUACUAUAUAGGGAAUAGGGUGAUCAUCUCUCCACGGACCCUGGUUUAAAUUCGUGUACUAUAUAGGGAAUAGGGUGUCAUCUCUCCACAGGACCCUGGUCUAAAGUAGUGUACUAUAUAGGGAAUAGGGUGAUCAUCUCUCCACGGACCCUGGUUUAAAUUCGUGUACUAUAUAGGGAAUAGGGUGUCAUCUCUCCAUAGGGCCCUGGUCUAAAGUAGUGUACUAUAUAGGGAAUAGGGUGUCAUCUCUCCACAGGACCCUGGUCUAAAGUAGUGUACUAUAUAGGGAAUAGGGUGAUCAUCUCUCCACGGACCCUGGUCUAAAUUCGUGUACUAUAUAGGGAAUAGGGUGUCAUCUCUCCAUAGGGCCCUGGUCUAAAGUAGUGUACUAUAUAGGGAAUAGGGUGUCAUCUCUCCAUAGGGCCCUGGUCUAAAGUAGUGUACUAUAUAGGGAAUAGGGUGUCAUCUCUCCAUAGGGCCCUGGUCUAAAGUAGUGUACUAUAAAGGGAAUAGGGUCUCAUCUCUCCAUAGGGCCCUGGUAUAAAGUAGUGUACUAUAUAGGGAAUAGGGUGAUCAUCUCUUCAUAGGGUCCUGGUGUAAAGUAGUGUACUAUAUAGGGAAUAGGGUGUCAUCUCUCCAUAGGGUCCUGGUCUAAAGUAGUGUACUAUAUAGGGAAUAGGGUGUCAUCUCUCCAUAGGGCCCUGGUCUAAAGUAGUGUACUAUAUAGGGAAUAGGGUGUCAUCUCUCCAUAGGGCCCUGUUCUAAAGUAGUGUACUAUAUAGGGAAAUAGGGUGUCAUCUCUCCAUAUGGCCCUGGUCUAAAGUAGUGUACUAUAUAGGGAAUAGGGUGUCAUCUCUCCAUAGGGUCCUGGUGUAAAGUAGUGUACUAUAUAGGGAAUAGGGUGUCAUCUCUCCAUAGGGCCCUGGUCUAAAGUAAUGUACUAUAUAGGGAAUAGGGUGUCAUCUCUCCAUAGGGCCCUGGUCUAAAGUAGUGUACUAUAUAGGGAAUAGGGUGUCAUCUCUCCAUAGGGCCCUGGUCUAAAGUAGUGUACUAUAUAGGGAAUAGGGUGUCAUCUCUCCAUAG
ensembl:lncRNA